rnacentral:lncRNA from 1 species
UAACCUUCUUUAUGUCCUCUUGGCGUGGCUUAUGCUUCAUUCUCCAGCAUGGUGGAUGUUUGACUGCUUACUACAAUACCUUGAUCUGGUCACUAGACCCUUUUGAGAGAAAUCUCUGUCAGGUAUGUUCAGGUAUGGUUGGGUAUUGGUCAGGUUUGGUCAGGUAUGUUCAGGUAUGGUUGGGUAUUGGUCAGGUUUGGUCAGGUAUGUUCAGGUAUGGUUGGGUAUUGGUCAGGUAUGGUUGGGUAUUCGUCAGGUUUGGUCAGGUAUGGUUGGGUAUUGGUCAGGUUUGGUCAGGUAUGGUUGGGUAUUGGUCAGGUUUGGUCAGGUAUGUUCAGGUAUGGUUGAGUAUUGGUCAGGUGUGGUUGGGUAUUCGUCAGGUUUGGUCAGGUAUGGUUGGGUAUUGGUCAGGUAUGAUUGGGUAUUCGUCAGGUUUGGUCAGGUAUGGUUGGGUAUUGGUCAGGUAUGGUUGGUAUUGGUCAGGUUUGGUCAGGUAUGGUUGGGUAUUGGUCAGGUUUGGUUGGGUAUUGGUCAGGUAUGGUUGGGUAUUGGUCAGGUUUGGUCAGGUAUGGUUGGGUAUUCGUCAGGUUUGGUCAGGUUUGAUUGGGUAUUCGUCAGGUUUGGUCAGGUAUGGUUGGGUAUUGGUCAGGUUUGGUCAGGUUUGGUUGGGUAUUGGUCAGGUUUGGUCAGGUAUGAUUGGGUAUUCGUCAGGUUUGGUCAGGUAUGGUCAGGUAUGGUUGGGUAUUGGUCAGGUUUGGUUGGGUAUUGGUCAGGUUUGGUCAGGUUUGGUUGGGUAUUGGUCAGGUAUGGUCAGGUAUGGUUGGGUAUUGGUCAGGUUUGGUUGGGUAUUGGUCAGGUUUGGUCAGGUAUGGUUGGGUAUUCGUCAGGUUUGGUCAGGUAUGGUUGGGUAUUGGUCAGGUAUGGUUGGGUAUUGGUCAGGUUUGGUUGGGUAUUGGUCAGGUUUGGUCAGGUUUGGUUGGGUAUUCGUCAGGUUUGGUCAGGUAUGGUUGGGUAUUGGUCAGGUAUGGUUGGGUAUUGGUCAGGUAUGGUCAGGUAUGGUUGGGUAUUGGUCAGGUAUGGUCAGGUUUGGUUGGGUAUUGGUCAGGUAUGGUCAGGUAUGGUUGGGUAUUCGUCAGGUUUGGUCAGGUAUGGUUGGGUUUUCGUCAGGUUUGGUCAGGUAUGGUUGGGUAUUCGUCAGGUUUGGUCAGGUAUGGUUGGGUAUUGGUCAGGUUUGGUCAGGUAUGGUUGGGUAUUAGUCAGGUUUGGUCAGGUAUGAGGAUUUGAGGCAGAACCGUGCAUCCAAGUGUAAUUCCCAAACAUAGUAUCCAGUGGCGAU